GUGCUUUAGCAGCAUCUCUCUCCCUGCUAUGUUUCCCAAGUAUGUAGGCAGAACAGCAAGCAUGUAGAAACCUUUUGUAAAUUGAAAGAGAACACGGAAAGAUGAGAGGCAGAAAGUUACGAGAAAAGUACUCUUAAUCUUUGACUUCUGAAACCUUGAAGAAAGAAAUUGGACAAUAAAAGCCAAGGUAAUCAAGGAGACUGAAUGCAUGAUUUUCCUAAGCAAGGGAACUGCACUGGCUAUGUCUUCACUGGGCAACAGAUGCCUGAAGAAGGUGGGCAAGCAGAGAUCGUACAACAGUUGGGGUUGGAAGGAACCUUAAAGAUCAUCUUGUUCCACCUGCCUGCUGCAAUGUCAAAACAGGAAGGCAGUCAAUAUGCUGGAGAUCAGGCUGGAGAAAUGGCUGGGCCAAGGUGAACCUCGUGAAGUUCAACCAAGGGAAGCACCAAGCCCUGCCCUGGUGAGAAAUAACCCCAUGCACAGGACAGGCUGAGCUCUGACAGGAAAGCCAGGUAAGAUCUGGAGGUCUUGGUGAACAUCAAGUUGAACACAAACCAGCAAUGCAUCUUUGCAGGAAGGAAGGCCAACUGCAUGGCUGGCUGCAUUAGCAAGAAUGAUGACAUGAUUAUUUCCCUGUCCUCUGUAAUUGAGAGACCACAGCUGAGAUGUUCUAUACACUUUUGGCCUCUGCAGUACAGGAAAAACAUCGACAAUCUGGAGCCAGUCUAGCAGAGAGCCACCACGAGGCUGGAGCACGUGCUGUAGGAGGAGAAGCUGAGAGAGCUGGGCAUGUUCAGCCAAAAGGGGAGAGGGUAAGGGGAGACCUGCUGAAAUACAGAACAAAGCUCUUCUUGGAACUGCAUGCUGUAAGGGGACAGCAGACACAAGCUGAAACAUGGGAAAUUUUAACUCGUUUAAGGAAAAUGUUUUGUGACUGUGCUCUUCCUCUUUCCCCAGCCAGCCUGCUGGGAAACCAGUCCCUUCUACUAAGCACCAGCCAGUUGUAAUAACAUGAAUUAUAAAUUUUCUUACUUGAUAUCUGGAUUCAGGAAAAAACCACUGAAACUUCAGCACUGACCAGACAGCCAUGACAAGAGGAAAAUUCCUUCC